GAUGAUAGGGUCAAAAGCAUACGGUCCGAUUAUGCAGGCAUAAAUCGGACCGUAUGCUUGGGACCCGCGGGACAUGAGGAAGAAGCGAUUUACGAAGUAAAUCAGCGGAUUCCGAAUGUCCGCCGAAUUGCGGGAGUUGCGAAGCAACGCAGCAAUUCGUAUCA
rnacentral:sRNA from 1 species